rnacentral:rRNA from 1 species
CAGUCGCCACGGUAAUACGAAGGGUGCAAGCGUUAAUCGGAAUUACUGGGCGUAAAGCGUGCGUAGGCGGUGAGUUAAGUCUGCUGUGAAAUCCCCGGGCUCAACCUGGGAAUGGCAGUGGAUACUGGCUCGCUAGAGUGUGUCAGAGGAUGGUGGAAUUCCCGGUGUAGCGGUGAAAUGCGUAGAGAUCGGGAGGAACAUCAGUGGCGAAGGCGGCCAUCUGGGACAACACUGACGCUGAAGCACGAAAGCGUGGGGAGCAAACAGGAUUAGAUACCCCGGUAGUCCCUGUCUCUUAUAC